UUUCCGUAGGUGAACCUGCGGAAGGAUCAUUACUAAGUAUCGUUUUUGCAGGCCCGACCUUCCAUCCUGUGUUUGUGUGACCUGUUUGCCGUUGUGGUCGUGAUGCCGGCAGAUGCCGCCGUCAGUUCUGCACUGUAUGCCUGUGCACUUCUAUGACUACCUAACUAACAUAGUACUCUUAUCGUCGGAUUUAAUGGAUAAAAUUAUGAAGAACUACGUACAACAUCUAACGAGGUCUCGCCUGCCACCAAGAACCACAGAUAGCGCGCGAACACGGUCUCAAAUGCCUUACAAACUCGUCCGACGGUAACCGCAGCCGAGAUGCAGAAGAAAGGCAUACCAUGGUAGAUGUUGUUUACCCGGCCCAUGCAGCUUUUGUAAUUAUGGUUUUUUUCACUUUUGAAGCCCGGUUCCAUGAUGUGUCCCCUGUCACCCACCUUUUUAAUCAUGACCCCGUUACUAGACCUAUUUUAUUCUCUGUGUGCCUGAAAUCUAAUUGAUAAAAUAUAAUCAAAUAAAACUUUCAACAACGGAUCUCUUGGCUCUC
rnacentral:misc_RNA from 1 species